UGGGGAAUAUUGCACAAUGGGCGCAAGCCUGAUGCAGCCAUGCCGCGUGUAUGAAGAAGGCCUUCGGGUUGUAAAGUACUUUCAGCGGGGAGGAAGGUGUUGAGGUUAAUAACCUCAGCAAUUGACGUUACCCGCAGAAGAAGCACCGGCUAACUCCGUGCCAGCAGCCGCGGUAAUACGGAGGGUGCAAGCGUUAAUCGGAAUUACUGGGCGUAAAGCGCACGCAGGCGGUCGGUCAAGUCGGAUGUGAAAUCCCCGGGCUCAACCUGGGAACUGCAUUCGAAACUGGCAGGCUAGAGUCUUGUAGAGGGGGGUAGAAUUCCAGGUGUAGCGGUGAAAUGCGUAGAGAUCUGGAGGAAUACCGGUGGCGAAGGCGGCCCCCUGGACAAAGACUGACGCUCAGGUGCGAAAGCGUGGGGAGCAAACA
rnacentral:rRNA from 1 species